UACAGAGGUCCCAAGCGUUGUUCGGAUUCACUGGGCGUAAAGGGUGCGUAGGCGGUCGGGUAAGUCUGAUGUGAAAUCUCACAGCUUAACUGUGAAACUGCAUUGGAUACUAUUCGGCUUGAGAGUUGGAGGGGGGGGACUGGAAUUCUUGGUGUAGCAGUGAAAUGCGUAGAUAUCAAGAGGAACACCAGUGGCGAAGGCGAGUCCCUGGACAACUUCUGACGCUGAGGCACGAAAGCUAGGGGAGCAAACAGG
rnacentral:rRNA from 1 species